GUCCUGAUGGCUAGCUCAGUCAGCAGAGCAUGAGACUCUUAAUCUCAGAGUUGUGGGUUCGAGCCCCACGUUGGGCA